AUGGCUGGGACCCCACUCCUCCUCCUCACCCUCCUGCUUCACUGCACAGGGUCCCUCUCACAGUCGCAACCUGUGCUGACUCAGUCACCCUCUGCCUCUGCGUCCCUGGGAGCUUCAGCCAAGCUCACCUGCACCCUGAGCAGUGCUCACAGCACCUAUAGAAUUGAAUGGUUUCAGCAGAGAGCAGAGAAAAGCCCCCGGUUCGUGAUGGCAGUGGGCAGCAGUGGCAUGACCGGGUCCAGAGGGGAUGGGAUCCCAGAUCGCUUCUCAGGCUCCAGCUCUGGGGCUGACCGCUACUUGACCAUCACCAACGUCCAGGCUGAGGAUGAAGCUGACUACAUUUGUGGUGUAAGUGGCACUGGUGUACAAUCCUGA